UAAAGCCUAACUGGCAGUUCCGAACGAAGAAGACCUUUCGGGUCCUCCAGUGGCGAACGGGUGAGUAACACGUAGGGAACCUGCCCGCGCACCGGGAAUACGCUCUGGAAACGGAGAACAAAUCCCGAUGUACAGGAAGGAGGCAUCUUCUUUCUGUGAAACAUCCUUUAGGGGAUGGGGCGCGGAUGGACCUGCGGUGCAUUAGUUGGUUGGCGGGGUAAAGGCCCACCAAGACGAUGAUGCAUAGCCGGCCUGAGAGGGCGGACGGCCACAUUGGGACUGAGACACGGCCCAGACUCCUGCGGGAGGCAGCGGUAGGGAAUUUUCGUCAAUGGGCGCAAGCCUGAACGAGCGAUGCCGCGUGAGUGAAGAAGGCCUUCGGGUCGUAAAGCUCUGUUGCGGGGGAAAAAAGGCAGCAUCAGGAAAUAGGUGCUGACUGAUGGUGCCCCGCCAGAAAGUCACGGCUAACUACGUGCCAGCAGCCGCGGUAAUACGUAGGUGGCGAGCGUUAUCCGGAAUGAUUGGGCGUAAAGGGUGCGCAGGCGGUCCUGCAAGUCUGGAGUGAAACGCAUGAGCUCAACUCAUGCACGGCUUUGGAAACUGGAGGACUGGAGAGCAGGAGAGGGCGGUGGAACUCCAUGUGUAGCGGUAAAACGCGUAAAUAUAUGGAAGAACACCAGUGGCGAAGGCGGCCGCCUGGCCGUUGCUGACGCUGAGGCACGAAAGCGUGGGGAGCAAAUAGGAUUAGAU
rnacentral:rRNA from 1 species